rnacentral:rRNA from 1 species
GAAAUCAAGCAGUGGAUUACUUCGCUCAUUGGCUAAUUAACAGAGCCAGCUGUGAGACUUUGUGUGAACUGUAGGACAGAUUUAGCAUUGAUUUUUUAAUGUGCAUCGUAAUCUUAGACGACAUCCGAGACCAUGACUGUCUGAGGGUAG